rnacentral:tRNA from 1 species
CGUAGCGUGGUGCAAUGGUAGCAUAGCCGGAGUCUCAGUAAAUCAAAACCGAGAAGACGCAGGUUCGAACCCUGCCGCUACUA